GAAGACAACAUAUAUAAUAACAAAGUGUAUAGUGAUAAAUGUUACAAUAUAAUCAGAGUACUUAUUACAUAGCGGAAGACUUACAAAAUAAAUUAUAAAUAUAAAACGAACUAAGGAUCAUCCUUGGCGCAAGUCAACUGGGAGACGCCACCUAGAUCGAAUCGAACUCCUCGUUGUGUGGCUCCUCUUGAACCACCUGUACUUCUCCUGUGGGGGGGGGGGGUGUGAGACAGCAAGGGUGAGCUCACACAUGUUCAUCGCUCAACAAGUUGUGGGGAAUAAUGUGGCAUGAACUCAUAAAAGAUGGGAGUUCAUAUGAUGUGUAAGGCUAAUCAACAAUAGGGGUUAAAGCUGAGCAUUGCUUUUAAUAAGUUGGUCAAAAUUUUAUUAGCAGUUACUAAAUGUAAGUAAAUACCAAACCAUAAUAAACAUAAUAGAACAAAAUUAAUAAUAAACCCAUGCAAAUGCAAAUGACAAAUUGAAUUUAAGUUCCAUAAAUUAAUCAUCAGAGAGUCCUGAGUUGCUCAUGACCGCGAGCACGGUUAGUAUAUGUAAUACUCAAAAUUGUUUACAAGGAAUAAAUAGUGAUUUCCCUAUUGUAUGUGCCAUAAUUGCAUCAUAAAAAGAGCAUACCAAAAAAUUAUGAGGGAUUAAUUAAAACAAAUGAUACUAAAAUAAAAUAAAGUGCAUCAUGUUGGAGUUUAUAUGUUUGUGCAUUAAAUAAAAAUAAUAAUAAUAUAAAAAUAACUAGAAAUUGAAUUAAGCCCUAAAUUAAACCUAGGGUUUUUGAAAAUGAGAAGAAGAGAAAUGAUAUAAAAAUAUAAAUAAUAUAAUUGUAUUUCCAAAACUUGUAUUUUAAUUUCUCAAUAUGAUUUGAGAAUAAAUUUGACACAAAUUUGAAUUUAAAAUUCGAAUUCAAAUUGGAAUUGGAAAUAGAAAAUAAAAAUCAAAAGAAAAGGAAAUAAACCCCAACUGGGCUCACUCUAGCAAUUUCGGCCCACCUAACCUAACGCACUCACGCGCGGCCCAGCUGACCUUUGCGCCGACAUGUGGGCCCCGCCCGUCGGUCACGCGCACGCCUGCUUGCUCCGUAUCUUACACCGACAGGUGGGCCUCGACGUCAGUCCCUCGCGUUUCCCUCACUGGCUCGUGCGCGCCUCACCGAUUUGGUGGCCCACCUGUCACCCGUUCAUCGCACGACUCGGAGUCCCUCGUUGACGGGUGGACCAUCCCCGUCAGAAUCGUCCCCAACGACUUCGCGGGGAGCUCGGCGGGGCUUGCGGCGCCAUGACGACUCCGAGCCUGGCGCAAUGCUGAGCCCUCUUGGGUAUAAAGCCGAGCGCCGCCAUCCCUUAUCUCCGUCCUCUCCUUUAUCCCCAACCUCUCGCCAGCCACCAAAUCACCAUCGCGAUUCUCUCGGGCCAAACUCACUGCCGUCGUGGUCCCGCGCCGUCAACACAGGGGAGGCCACGGUUGAGGGCCGGGUUGCCUCUGCGCGGUCUCUGGAGUGCGCGUGUGGAUCCGUUGGGCGCAAUCGAAGCUCUGUGCGCCGGUAAUCCUUCACCGGGAUCGGAGGUCCGCCGUGCGCCGCGGCCAGGGGGUUCUUCACCGCGACUUGAGGUAAUUGGUGUGCCAUUACCUUCGCGUUUCACUGGUGGGUGUGUGGAGUGGUUCAAUUUUAGAAUUGGCGCUCUAUUGCGCGGAAUCGUGGGGAGUCCGGCCAUGGGCCGCCGCGCUCCGGCCGGUGGCGCCGCUGGUGGCCGGGGGGAAGAUGGCUGUUGGGUUGCUGACUGUCGGAUUCGCGAUGGGUGGCUCAGAUCUAGCCAGGUGUGCCGAUUGGGUUGGGACAAGCGUGCGCCGUUGGAUGGAUGUUGGACGGCUCGGAUUAGGUCUCAUAUCGUUUCAGCGGCACCUAACCACAACCAUUGAUCCGCGAUCUCGCGGCUCAUGUUGGUUCUAGAUUCAUUAAACCGUGACCCUUGGAUUUGGAUCCGAUGGAUUAGAUUGGAUACCGGUUCAAUGUUAUAUGGUCUAAUCUCGGCCCUUCAAUUCUAAUCGGACGGUCACGAUAGGUCUGUACCCCUUCGCGGGUACUCUUUACAAAAGAAACCUUAUGUUUUUAGGAUUUAGAACCCGCCGUCCCUAGCGACUGUGCUCUGUGUCUUGGUGUUCUUACGCCCGAGACCCCUGCACUUCUCAUAUUUUAGCGCCCAGUCCAGAGGAGUUUAAAAAACGAAGAAAUAAUAUCAGAAAUUCAUUUUUAAUACAAAAACAAAUCUAGAAACUUGUAAAAUUCAUAGAAAUCCCAUUCUUGAUCCAAAUUUAACCAUUCCAAUUUCUAAAAUUUUGUAACAAUAUUCUCUGUCACUUAGUAUCUCUGUUUUGGCAUAAAAACAGUAAGAACAUUAAUUUAACAUUUAAUCCUAUUAUAAUCACCUUAAAUCUUAGGAAAUUCAUAACUUGAAUUCUAUAACUCCAAAUUCAGUGAUUCCAGUUCCUAUGAUCUCAUUUUAAUGUGUAGAUUUUCACUGUAUAUUUUAUUUACAUGAUUGGUGUGAUGUUGAUUUUGGCUAUACUAUGUAUGUAUUGCGUUGAUGCGAAUAGACGAGCAAGCCACUGUGGAAACUGAGGUUCAACAAGUAGAAGUAGCUGAGCAGGAGCUCAUUGAAGGCAAGUUGUGCCCUUGAUCACUUACUUUCCCAGCCAUGUUCUUAUUAAAUUUAAUGAUCUGCAUAGGAUAAUUUUGAUGGGAGCCUUUAUGUUACCCCAGUUUUGAUUACCUCUAUACCUUGUUCACCCCUGAAAUAUUUUUGUGUAGUACUUGCUAUUGCUUUAUGUGGAUUGGGUAUGGAGAUACACUAUUCAUGAUUAUUCUGUUAUUAACUUGUUAUUAUUAUUGUUCAUGUUAAGAUCAUUAAAUUAAUGGGAACAUGGAGCGACCACCCGGGAAAACAGUGCUACCACAAGGGUAUAAUGGGACGCCCUUGGCUGACUAAUUAGGAAAGCUAGUGGAAGACUACCUUACCCGAAAGGGGCAAGGGCAGUAGGGGAGAGGUCAGUGCGGGGAGGUCCCUGGUUGAUUUUGCUGCGAUGGCUGUCAGCCAGGAACCCUGUACUGGAUCUUCCUAUAAACUGUAGCGGGUUUUCGGAAGCUAGUGGAACUUUGUAAAGGCCUCGUAGUGGAUCCCUAGCCAUUCACCUCGGUAGUGUCUAAGGGCCUUGCAAACCCAGGCGACAUGGGAUACAUGACUUGUGGGUAAAGAUGCGCAACCUCUGCAGAGUGUAAAACUAGUAUACUAGCCGUGCUCACGGUCAAGAGCGGCUCGGACCCUCACAUGAUUAAUUAUGGAACUUAAAUUCAAUUUGACAUUUGCAUCACAUUUGGGAUUAUUUUACUAUUAUUGUUCUUUAUUAUUAUUAAGGUUUGGUAUUUACUUACACUUAGUAAUUGCUAAUAAAAUUUUGACCAACUUAUAAAAGCAAUGCUCAGCCUCAGCCUUUAUUCCAUUGAUUAGCCUUACACUACAUGAACUCCCACCUUUGGUGAGUUUAUGCCACAUUAUUCCCCACAACUUGUUGAGCGAUGAACGUAUGUGAGCUCACUCUUGCUGUCUCACACCCCCCCACAGGAGAAGAACAGGUGGUUCAGGAGGAGCCACAAGGCGAGGAGUAUGAUCUGAUCUAGGUGGCGUUUCUCAGUUGACAUUGGCGCCAACGAUCCUUAGUUCGUUUAUAUUAAUUCUCUUACUUUGUAAUAAGUCUUCCGCUAUGUAAUAAGUACUCUGAUGUAUCGUGACAUUUAUCUCUAUACACUCUGUUAUUAUAUAUGUUGUCUUCUUGGCGCAUGUAUGAGAUGCACCCGGCUUUGUUCUUUAAAACCGGGUGUUACAGUAUACCAGUUUUACACUCAGCAGAGGUUGUACUCUGUACCCACAGGUCGUGUAUCCCAUGUCGCCAGGGUUAGCUAGACCCUUAGACACUACCGAGGUGAAUGGCUAGGGAUCCACUACAAGGCCUUUACAAAGUUCCACUAGCUUUCGAAAACCCGCUACAGUUUAUGGGAAGAGCACUUGCAAGAAUCCCCCGUCUGACCGCCAUCGCAGCAAAAUCAACCCGAGAACCUCCUUGCAUGCAAUCCCCUACUCCCUUGCCCCUUUCGGGUAAGGUAGUCUUCCACUAGCUUUCCUAGUUAGGACUUGUUCGGUUAUUCCUAUCCCAUGUGGAUUGGAUGGGAUUGGAAAAAAUAUGAAAUUUUUUGACUUGUUUGGGAUUAAAACCCACCCAAUCCCACUCAAUUCAUAUGGAUUGAGAUCAAUACGAACAAGCCCUUAGUUGGCCAAGGGCGUCCCAUUAAACCCUUGUGGUGGCACGUGUUUCUCAAGUUAAGCUCCAUGUUCCAAUUAACAUUAAUGAUCUUGACAUGAACAUAAAUAGAAUAACAAAAUAAUUGGAACAUGGAUAUAAUGAAAGAUUAUCCCAAAACCAUGUAAAGUAAUAGCAAAACUACCUAAGUGAUUCAGGGGUAAACAAGGUAAUCAGGAUAAAUAGACAAGGGUCCCAUCAAAAUUAAACCUAUGCAUUGAAUAGUGAUAAUAAAGAAUAUUAUUAGGUAAACAAAAGUGAUCAAGGGCACAACUUGCCUUCAAUGAGCUCCUGCUCAGCUACUUCUAAUUGCUGGUCACCAGGAUGUCACACCCGGUUUUGGAAGGCAAACCGAAUGCGAACUAUGUACGUGCCAGGAUCAAAAUUCACGUACACAGCGAUUACAUAAAUGAACACCAUCGCAUAGUGCUCGAAUAAUAACAUAAAAGAGUAUUAACUUAUUACAUCACAAUGUCAGAGACAUCCACAUAGUCAUCAACUCAACGGGUAAAUCAAAGUGCUAAGCGAAACGCAGUAAAGAUAGGGCCUUCACAGGCAGCUGACUAGGGGUUUGCCGCUAACCCACACCUAGAACUCGUCGUAGUCUUGGAACUCCUGGAAGUCUCCUUCCACGACUUCGUCUUCUCCUGAGCAGUGGUUGCAAUGUGGACAACCUGGUGUUUUGUGGUAAAGCAAGGACGAGUACACAUCAACGUACUCAGCAAAUGCCCCGUUUGGCUGAAGUGGACUAGCUCUUUAUGUGGAGUUAGGCACAAGCAAUUGCUUUUAGUUGAUCAGGUAUUUAUUGUUAGUAGAAGCCAGAUUUUAUCAUAAAACCCAAGUUAUAAUCCCAAAAAGUACCUCCUCAGAGAGGAAAUACUAGAAUACUUAAUUAAAGUCACCAUCUGUCGGCGUUUCGAGACCGGGGGGUCCCUAAGCCGACGAGUGAGUGUGCCGUGUGCCCCAGCCCAGAUGGGUCGAGCGCGUGGGCGAGCGCGAAGGGGGGAAAGCGAGGUGGCCGGAGACGGACGUGAGAGAGGUGGAAAUCCCGCGGCCUUCGUGUUCGUCCCGCGCCCAGGUCGGGUGCGCUUGCAGUAGGGGGUUACAAGCAUCCACGCGGGUGAGGGAAGCGAGCGGCCCCAAGAGAGCGCCUGUCCCCGUCCUCGUCCCCGCGCGGCCAACCUUCUCUAAGAAGGCCCUGGUCCUUCCUUUUAUAGGCGUAAGGAGAGGAUCCAGGUGUACAAUGGGGGUGUAGCAGAGUGCUACGUGUCUAGCGGGGGGAGAGCUAGUGCCCUAAGUACAUGCCAAUGUGGCAGCCGGAGAGAUCUUGGCACCCUGCUGGCGUGAUGUCGUGGCUGUCGGAGGUGCAACGGAGCCUGGCGGAGGGACAGCUGUUGGAACGGUUGUGUCCUUGCUGACGUCGCCCUGCUUCCGUAAGAGAGCUGAGAGCCGCCGUCGUCACGGGGCUAGCGGGGCGCCAUCAUUGCCUAUCUGGCGGAGCUAGCCAGAUGGGACACCGGUCUUGUUCUCUGCGGCCCGAGUCGGCUCGGGGUAGGGUGAUGAUGGCGCUUCCUGUCGGCGUGGCUGGCCUAUGCCCUAGGUUGGGCGACGCGGAGGCUCCUCCGAAGCCGGGGUCGAGUCUGUCUUCCAUGGCCGAGGCUGAGUCCGAGCCCCUGGGUCGGGCGAGGCGGAAGUCGUCGGCAGAGGCCAGGGCGGAGUCCGAGCCCUGGGGUCGGGUGAAGCGGAGUUCAUCGUCUUCUAGGGCUGAGCCCGAGUCCGAGCCCUGGGUCGGGCGAAGCGGAGUUCGUCGUCUUCCGGGGCCUUAGCCCGAGUCCGAGCCCUGGGUCGGGCGGAGCGGAGUUCACCGUCUUCCGGGGCUUAGCCCGAGUCCGAGCCCUGGGUCGGGCGGAGCGGAGUUCGCCGUCUUCCGGGGCUUAGCCCGAGUCCGAGCCCUGGGUUGGGCGGAGCGGAGUUCGCCGUCUUCCAGGGCUUAGCCCGAGUCCGAGCCCUGGGUCGGGCGGAGCGGAGUUCGCCGUCUUCCGGGGCUUAGCCCGAGUCCGAGCCCUGGGUCGGGCAAAGCUUCCUAUGGCGCCUUUGGCAGGGCCUGGCUUCCUUUGCGUUAAAUGCUCCUGCGGCUUGGCCGGUCGGUGCGGCGAUUUAGUCAGGGUUGCUUCUUAGCGAAGGCAAGGCCUCGGGCGAGCCGGAGACGUGUUCGCCGUUGAAGGGGGGCCUCGGGCGAGACGGAAACCCCUCGGGGUCGGCUGCCGUUGCCCGAGGCUAGGCUCGGGCGAGGCGUGAUCGAGUCGCUCGUACGGACUGAUCCCUGACUUAAUCGCACCCAUCAGGCCUCUGCAGCUUUAUGCUGAUGGGGGUUACCAGCUGAGAAUUAGGCGUCUUGAGGGUACCCCUAAUUAUGGUCCCCGACAGUAGCCCCCGAGCCUCGAAGGGAGUGUUAGCACUCGCUUGGAGGCUUUUGUCGCACUUUUUUGCAAGGGGGCCAGCCUCUCUCGGUUGCAUUUUGUUCCGGUGGGUGCGCGCGAGCGCACCCGCCGGGUGUAGCCCCCGAGGCCUCGGAGGAGUGGUUUCACUCCUUUGAGGUCUUAAUGCCUUGCGUAACGCUUCAGCAGGUCUGGUUGUUCCCUCAUGCGAACUGGCCGUAGCCCGGGUGCACGGUCGGGGCCCAAGUUCUCGGGCUGGUAUGUUGACGCUGUCAACGAUUUGGCCAGAGCCGGGUCUGCGAGAGCAGCCCCCGAGCCUCUGCAUAGGGCGAGAGGACGAUCAGGGACAGACUCGGCUUUUUUACGUACGCCCCUACGUCGCCUUUCCGCAAGGAGGAGGGGGGGGAGAGCGCCAUGCUACCCUCGAUGGGCACCGAACAUGGUGUCUCCGGUGAGCUGCAAGCGGGUAAUCCGAGUGGACGUCCGUGCCCCGUUCGUUAGGGGUCGGCUAGGGGCCCAGAGGCACGCCCAAAAGUACCUGCGGGUGAUCUGCCGGACCCGGUCCCCUGGCGACGGGGUCCGAGGGCUCGAGCCUCCCUCUGAUGGGAUUUCGUUGCAAGAUCGCUCCCGCUGGUCUCGGAAAUGUCCUAGGGUACCUCGGGAGCGCAGCCCGAGCCUUGGUUAUGUAUCGAACGUACCCCUGGUCAUCCCUCGCUCGGCGUCUGGGGCGACUGUGAACCCUUCGGGGGCCAGCCUUCGAACCCCUGAUCAGUAAUGGGCACGGAGCCCGAGUAGCCUGAGGCGGCCGUGGAACCCUUCGGGGGGCCGGCCUUCGAACCUCUGACCAGUAGUGGGUGUAGGGCCCACGCGAUCUGAGGCGGCUGUUGAACCCUUCGGGGGGCCAGCCUUCGAACCCCUGAUCAGUAAGGAGGCUCGGAGCCUGGUUCCUUCAUGGGGAAGGAUCCCUUUCGGGGUAUCCCCCUUUCUUAGUCCCUGUUGCAAGAGAUAGAGAAAGAGGAAAGAAGGAAAAAGGAUACGAAACCGAACGAUGCGGCGUACCUUUUCUGGCGCGGUUGUUUUGGCGAAGGCGAAGCGUCGCCCGCUUUUCCUGCCAGAAGCGCCGCCUGUCCCGCCGCGGAGUUAAUGCGAUGGGGCGAGUAGCUGGCGGGGCUGCCGUUGCGCGUGCGCGAGCCGUUCGAGGAACGGAUCACGGGCGCGUUGUCUUCACGCCGUGAGAGGGGGCUCUCUCGCUGCCCCCGGAUGGGACGUGAGCUUGGCUAACGACGUGACCGCUGCUCCCGCGUGCCUGCCACCGUCAUUACUGCCGGCUCUCCUUUGGCCGCGUUGGCCGCCGCGUCAGGCUGGCGCCGCUGGGUCGCGCGCUGGGUCGCCUCGAGUCGCGGUAUUGGUUCCGCAAUCGAGGAGGCGCGGUGGUGGCGCAGGCGAUGCAGUUGCUUGCAUGCAGCAUCUAGCGUGCCGGUUGCGCGACGCGUGGGCCUGGGCCUCCAUGCUGGCGUGUCGGGAGCCGGAGAAGUGCGUCCACUUGGCGCGGUUGCAUGCCGCCUGCAUGGCUGCCCGCCUCUUUCGCCCGUUGGUCUGGGCAAAGGUGGAGGAUCACUUGUAACCGCUGGGCGGUUGCGUGCACCACGCACGGCGGUUUGGCUUCUUCUGCUCGGAGCCGGUCUGCAUGACAUGCGGGACCCAGCCCCCGCGCCGCAGGGGAGGGCUUUGAAGCGUGUUGGAGAAGACUCAGCCCGUGACGGUUGGGAGCGCAAGCAGGGAGAGUCGCCUUUAAAAGGAGGGCGACCCCUUUCGUAAGGCGACCAUGUCUUCUCACUCCCUUAUGCGCCGCGCCUUUCCACCUUCCAAACCCCCGGAUGGGGGGAGACCGCCGUCUUUUCGCCUCAUCGUUGGAGGAACGCAACUCCGUGGGAGUUGGUACCUUUCAGCCAUCGUUCGGCUACAAGGAUUUUCAUCAUGCAGCCUGGCUGCGCCCCUCCACCGGCGGUCACCCAAGAUGGUGACCUCCGGCUUGAUGGUGGGGGAAAGCGAGCUGGGCUGCGGCCUCUGCCCCUACCUCGGCCUCAAGGAUUUUCGUCAUCCAGGCCAAGAUGGAGGAUGAGGCGAGUCGGGGGGCUGCCUCCGUGGGGGUCGGUUGCCCUCUUCUUCCCCGGGCGUCUGGGGGAGAACGGCAUCCUCCAGCUCCACGGAGACUUCCUCCAGCCAUGCCGGGAGAGGAGGGCCGUCGUCACUCAGCCAGGGCGCAGCACCAUGUCCUCCGUCCGGACGACGGUAGCCCUGGGUCUCCGUCUCCCGGCCUGAAUGGCUGGCUCUCGUCCUCGGUGGGUGAGAGUCCUUCUGUCGUAUCACCCGCCCCGAAGCCACUGCUGAAGCUGCUUCGUCGCUCGGGGAGAGGGUGGUUAUCACUGUCGCCGGAUCGGGCGGCGGUGGGCCACCCGUCGGCCCGCGAUCGCUCCGCGGGCUCCCCAAUCUUGUGGGGUUGUUCGUGCCCAGGGGGACGAAACCGGAGUUCCGUUUGAGACGGCGCUUCGAAUGCCGGUAUUUUUGUUCCUUGUGGCUUUCGGGGCCUGAACAUGUAUGUAAUUACGGCACAGAGCCGCGUUUUUUCCUCAUUUUCGAGCGCUAAGACUCGUCUGUUGAUUAUCUGAAUCGCUUCACCAAGCAUGAGUCGCCCCGUGUCAAGGUGACGAGUGAGGUAUCCGUAUCCCGGAGGCGUAGGAGUCCCUCGACUCGGUCAGCCUUGGCUGCUUACGUGUACUCCGUCGUUUCCAGGACUCACUUUUCGAAGUAGUCGAAAAGCACGAAAGAUAUUCUGGUGAAAGAGAUCUUUUUUCGAGGAAAAUUUUGACGCAGAGGGGGUCUCCCCCCUUUUAGCCCCCGAGGUAGGGUCGGGCUUUGCCGAGGCGAGGCCGACCCUUCCUUGCUGACUAAACUUUGCGUGGGUGCGAGGUUUAUGAACGACUUGAAAACAUCUUAAGGGUAAAAGCGACGUAGCUGUUGGAUGUUCCAAGCGUUGCCGUAGACCUCGCCUUGGCUGUUGGCCAGCCUGUACGUUCCGGGCUUCAGAACUUUGGCGAUAACGAAUGGCCCCUCCCAGGGGGGCGUGAGCUUGUGCCUCCCUCGGGCGUCUUGCCGCAGCCGAAGCACCAGGUCGCCCACCUGGAGGUCCCGGGGUCGGACCCCUUGGGCGUGGUAGCGUCGCAGGGAUUGCUGAUACCGCGCCGAGUGUAGUAAGGCCCUGUCCCGAGCCUCUUCCAGCUGGUCCAGCGAGUCUUCUCGGCUAGCUUGGUUGCUUUGCUCGUCGUAGGCCCUCGUCCUCGGGGAGCCGUAUUCCAGGUCAGUGGGCAAGACGGCCUCGGCCCCGUAGACCAGGAAGAACGGCGUGAAACCCAUGGCCCGGCUCGGUGUUGUCCUCAGGCUCCAGACCACCGAGGGGAGUUCCUUCAUCCAUCGCUUGCCGAACUUGUUGAGGUCGUUGUAAAUCCGAGGCUUGAGCCCUUGUAGAAUCAUGCCGUUGGCACGCUCUACCUGCCCAUUCGACAUGGGAUGAGCCACGGUGGCCCAGUCCACCCAGAUGUGGUGAUCCUCGCAAAAAUCCAAGAAUUUUUUGCCGGUGAACUGGGUGCCGUUGUCGGUGAUGAUGGAGUUCGGGACCCCGAAGCGAUGGAUGAUGUUGGUGAAGAACGCCACUGCCUGCUCGGACCUGAUGCUGUUCAGGGGUCGGACCUCGAUCCACUUGGAGAAUUUGUCGACGGCGACCAGCAGGUGCGUGUAGCCCCCGGGCGCCUUCUGCAAGGGACCGACGAGGUCCAGUCCCCACACAGCAAAGGGCCAGGUGAUGGGUAUCGUCUGCAGAGCCUGAGCGGGCAGGUGGGUCUGCUUCACAUAGAAUUGACACCCUUCGCAGGUGCGGACAAUUCUAGUGGCGUCGGCCACCGCCGUUGGCCAGUAGAAGCCUUGCCGGAAAGCGUUCCCGACGAGGGCUCGAGGCGCUGCAUGAUGGCCGCAAGCCCCCGAGUGUAUCUCUUGCAGGAGUUCCUGACCUUCGGCGAUGGAGAUGCAUCGCUGGAGGAUGCCCGAGGGGCUGCGGUGGUAGAGCUCCUUCUCAUCGCCCAGCAAGACGAACGAUUUGGCGCGUCGCGCUACCCGCCGAGCCUCGGCUCGGUCGAGGGGUAGCUCUCCUUGGCGGAGAUAUUGCAGGUACGGGGUUUGCCAGUCUCGGUCAGGCGUGGCCCCGCUCCGCUCCUCCUCGAUGCGCAGCGCCUCGCCCUCGGGGGCCGAGGGUACCUCGGGCUGAAUCGAGGACGCCUCGGGCUCGGGCGUGUCGUUGAUCUUGACGGAGGGUUGGUGCAGAUCCCGGGAGAAGACGUCCGGGGGAACCGUCGUCCGCCCCGAGGCUAUUUUUGCCAGCUCGUCCGCAGUCUCGUUGUAGCGCCGAGCGAUGUGGUUAAGCUCGAGCCCGUAGAACUUGUCUUCCAGGCGCCAAACCUCAUCGCAGUAGGCCUCCAUCUUCGGGUCGCGGCAGUUUGAGUUCUUCAUGACUUGGUCGAUAACGAGCUGCGAGUCGCCGCGAGCGUCGAGGCGUCGGACCCCUAGCUCGAUGGCGAUUCGCAAUCCGUUGAUCAGAGCUUCGUACUCGGCCACAUUGUUGGACGCCGGGAAAUGGAGGCGUAGCACGUAGCGUAGGUGUUUCCCGAGGGGCGAGAUGAAGAGCAGGCCCGCACCGGCUCCCGUCUUCAUUAGCGACCCGUCGAAAAACAUGGUCCAGAGCUCCGGUUGGAUCGGAGCCGUCGGUAGCUGGGUGUCGACCCAUUCGGCUACGAAGUCCGCCAAGACCUGGGACUUGAUGGCCUUCCGAGGCGCGAACGAGAUGGUCUCGCCCAUGAUUUCCACCGCCCACUUCGCAAUCCUGCCCGAGGCCUCUCGGCACUGGAUGAUCUCCCCCAGGGGGAAGGAUGACACCACAGUUAUCGGGUGAGACUCGAAGUAGUGUCGCAACUUCCGCCUCGUCAGGACCACUGCAUACAGUAGCUUCUGAACUUGUGGGUAGCGGAUCUUGGUUUCGGACAGUACCUCGCUGACGAAGUAAACCGGCCUCUGAACGGGCAAUGCAUGCCCCUCUUCUUGCCUCUCGACCACAAUCGCGGCGCUAACCACCUGAGUGGUCGCGGCGACGUAGACCAAGAGGGCUUCUCCAUCAGCUGGGGGUACCAAGAUAGGCGCCUUUGUAAGAAGCGCCUUCAGGUUCCCGAGAGCUUCCUCGGCCUCAGGUUUCCAAGUGAAGCACUCGGCCUUCCUUAAGAGGCGGUACAGAGGCAGGCCUCUUUCGCCGAGGCGUGAGAUGAACCGGCUCAGGGCCGCGAGACAUCCCAUGACCCUCUGUACGCCUUUUAAGUCCUUGAUGGGCCCCAUGUUGGUGAUGGCUGCGAUCUUCUCCGGGUUGGCUUCGAUGACUCGCUCGGAGACGAUGAACCCCAAGAGCAUGCCCCGGGGCACCCCGAAGACACACUUCUCAGGAUUGAGCUUGACGCCCUUUGCCUUGAGACACCGGAAUGUCACUUCAAGGUCGGAAAGGAGGUUGGAAGCCUUCCUCGUCUUGACUACGAUGUCAUCGACGUAGGCCUCGACUGUGCGACCGAUGUGUUUGCCGAACACAUGGUUCAUGCUGGUACGUCGCGCCCGCAUUCCUCAAACCGAACGGCAUGGUGACAUAGCAGUACAUGCCGAAGGGCGUGAUGAAAGAAGUCGCGAGCUGGUCGGACUCUUUCAUCCGGAUUUGGUGAUAUCCGGAGUAGGCAUCGAGGAAGGACAGGGUUUCGCACCCAGCAGUGGAAUCCACGAUUUGAUCGAUGCGAGGUAGAGGGUAGGGAACCUUCGGACAUGCUUUGUUGAGACCAGUGUAGUCUACACACAUCCGCCAUUUCCCCCCUUUCUUUCUCACAAGCACAGGGUUGGCAAGCCAUUCGGGAUGGAAUACCUCUUUGAUGAACCCUGCUGCCAUUAGCUUGUGGAUCUCUCCGCCUAUCACUCUGCGCUUCUCCUCGUCGAAUCGGCGCAGAGGCUGCCUGACGGGUCGGGCCCCGGCCCGAAUAUCCAGCGAGUGCUCGGCGACUUCCCUCGGUAUGCCGGGCAUGUCCGAGGGACUCCACGCAAAAACGUCGGCGUUUGCGCGGAGAAAGUCGACGAGCACUGCUUCCUAUUUGGGGUCGAGCCCGGAACCGAUCCGGAUCUGCUUGGAGGUGUCGCCACUAUGGUCGAGAGGGACGGCCUUAACCGUCUCCGCUGGCUCGAAGUUGCCGGCAUGUCGCUUCACGUCUGGCACCUCUUUGGAGAGGUUCUCCAGGUCGGCGAUGAGGGCCUCGGACUCGGCGAGGGCCUCGGCGUACUCCAUGCACUCCACGUCGCAUUCGAACGCGUGUUUGUACGUGGGGCCGACGGUGAUGACCCCGUUGGGGCCCGGCAUUUUGAGCUUCAGGUAGGUGUAGUUGGGGACGGCCAUGAACUUCGCGUAGCAUGGCCUCCCCAAUAUCGCGUGGUAGGUUCCUCGGAACCCGACCACCUCGAACGUCAGAGUCUCUCUUCAGAAAUUGGAGGGCAUUCCGAAGCAGACGGGAAGGUCGAGCCGUCCGAGGGGCUGGACGCGCUUCCCAGGAAUGAUCCCGUGGAAAGGCGCAGCGCCUGCUCGGACGGAGGACAGAUCGACGCGCGGGAGCCUGAGGGUCUCGGCGUAGAUGAUGUUGAGGCAGCUGCCCCCAUCCAUCAGGACCUUGGUGAGCCUGACGUCGCCGAUGAUGGGGUCGACGACGAGCGGGUAUUUCCCCGGGCUCGGCACGUGGUCGGGGUGGUCAGCUUGGUCGAAGGUGAUGGGCUCGUCGGACCAGUCUAGGUAGACUGGCGCCGCCACCUUCACCGAGCAGACCUCCCGGCGCUCUUGCUUGCGAUGCCGAGCCGAGGCAUUCGCCGCAUGCCCUCCAUAGAUCAUGAAGCAGUCGUGGACCUCGGGGAACUCUCAUGCUUGGUGAUCUUCCUUUUUGUCGUCGUCGUGGGCCCUGCCACCCUCUGCGGGUGGCCCGGCCUUGUGGAAGUGGCGCCGAAGCAUGACGCAUUCCUCAAGGGUGUGCUUGACGGGCCCCUGAUGAUAGGGGCACGGCUCCUUGAGCAUCUUGUCGAAGAGGUUGGCACCUCCGGGGGGCUUCCGAGGGUUCUUGUGCUCGGCGGCGGCGACAAGGUCCUCGUCGGCGGUGUCGCGUUUCGCUUGCGACUUCUUCUUGCCUUUCUUCUUGGCGUCGUGCGGAGUAGAUGCCUCGGGAACCUCUUCCGACGGGCGGCCCUGGGGCUGCUUGUCCUUUCGGAAGAUGGCCUCGACCGCCUCCUGGCCAGAGGCGAACUUGGUGGCGAUGUCCAUCAGCUCGCUCGCCCUGGUGGGAGUCUUGCGACCCAACUUGCUCACCAGGUCGCGGCAGGUGGUGCCGGCAAGGAACGCGCCGAUGACAUCUGAGUCGGUGAUGUUGGGCAGCUCGGUGCGCUGCUUCGAGAAUCGCCGGAUGUAGUCCCGAAGAGACUCUCCCGGCUGUUGCCGGCAGCUUCGGAGGUCCCAGGAAUUCCCGGGGCGCACGUACGUGCCCUGGAAAUUGCCGGCAAAGGCUUGGACCAAAUCAUCCCAGUUGGAGAUCUGCCCCGGAGGCAGGUGCUCCAACCAGGCGCGAGCGGUGUCGGAGAGGAACAGAGGGAGGUUGCGGAUGAUGAGGUUGUCGUCGUCCGUUCCACCCAGUUGGCAGGCCAGGCGGUAAUCCGCAAGCCACAGUUCUGGCCUCGUUUCCCCUGAGUACUUUGUGAUAGUAGCCGGGGGUUGGAAACGGGUCGGGAACGGUGCCCGCCGGAUGGCCCGGCUGAAGGCCUGCGGACCGGGUGGCUCGGGCGAGGGACUCCGAUCCUCCCCGCUGUCGUAGCGUCCCCCGCGCCUGGGGUGGUAGCCUCGGCGCACCCUUUCGUCGAGGUGGGCUCGACGGUCGCGACGAUGGUGCUCGUUGCCGAGGCAGCCCGGGGCCGCAGGCGCGGUGUUGCGCGUGCGCCCGGUGUAGACCGAGGCUUCCCGUAUGAAUCGGGAAGUCGCAGCAUGAGGCUCCGAGGGGUAUCCCUGCCUUCGGGAGGCAGAGCUCUCGGCCCGUCGGGCCGCAGCGCCUUCCAGGAGAUUCUUGAGCUCUCCCUGGAUUCGCCGACCCUCGGUGGUUGAUGGCUCCGGCAUCGCGCGGAUGAGCAUUGUUGCGGCUGCCAGGUUCUGACCGACCCCGCUAGACGCGGGAGGCGGCCUGACCCUGACGUCGUUGGCGACGCGGUGCUGGAAACCCUGGGGCAGGUGACGUAUUUCUCCGGCUGGGGGCUGGCCCGCCCAUACCUGCCCGACGUCCCGGCGGAUCGACUCAAGCGCUCCUGCUCCCUCGUCGAGCCUGGCCUGCGCCCCGCGGACUUGCUCGAGCUGUGGGUCGUGACCCCCCGCCGGAACGGGGACCACAGCUAGCUCCCGCGGGAUGUCGGCGCGAGGCGCCGGCCUAGGGAGAUCACCGUCCUCCGGCAUGCCGAGGUGGUUGCCUUCGGAGGGAUCCCCUAGCUCGACGUGGAAACAUUCGCGGCUUGGGCCGCAGUCCUUGUCGUCAAGGCUGCGGCUACCGUCGGAACAGUCGGAGAGGCAGUAGUCACAUGCGGUCAUAAAGUCCCGCAUGGCACUAGGGUUGCCAAAUCCAGAGAAAUCCCAACAGAUGCUGGGAUCGUCAUCUUCCUCGGACCCAGAGGGCCCGUAGGUCGAGACGUCCGUCAAUCGGUCCCAAGGCGACCGCAUACGAAACCCUAGAGGGGUUGCACUCGCCUCAACGAGAGCGCCCGCCAAAGCGAGGUCGCUAGGCGGGUUGAGGCCGAGUCGAAAUAAUGUAGGAUGGGAAUCGGUCGGUACCUUUUGGUCGAUGAGGAGCGACAUAGUCACGUCGGGGACUGAUUGCGCCGUCGUCUUGGGUACGAGGGCGACGUCCUGCAGGCCCUCCGCGAGCUCGCUGGCGUCGUCCACUUGCUCGAGAUCGGCAUGUCGCGGGGGGACGGCGCCCGCCUUCGUCUCGAACGCGAGGUCGAUGCCCGACGUGCCCCCCGUUAGGGCGCUGGGGACGUCAAUUCGCUCGACAGCCGAUGAAGCGCGGCCUCCCGCUCGGCCUUGGUUGCCCCGCCUCCUCCUCCGUUGGCGGGGGAGAGGACGGGGAGAGCUCGAAUGUCGUUCUUCCAUCACGCGGGGAAGAUGUCGUCGAUUCCGCCGCCGGCGGGCGGGUUGUCGGCCGCCGUUGUUGUUGUCGCGCGGCGGUGGAAGGAGUAUCAUGUCGUAGCUGCCGUCGAGGGACAUAAACUCAAGACUCCCGAAACGGAGCACCGUCCCGGGUUGGAGAGGUUGUUGGAGACUGCCCAUCUGGAGCUUGACGGGAAACUGCUCGUCAACACGCAGCAGGCCCCUACCUGGUGCGCCAACUGUCGGCGGUUCGAGACCGGGGGGUCCCUAAGCCGACGAGUGAGUGUGCCGCGUGCCCCAGCCUAGAUGGGUCGAGCGCGUGGGCGAGCGCGAAGGGGGGAAAGCGAGGUGGCCGGAGACGGACGUGAGAGAGGUGGAAAUCCCGCUGCCUUCGUGUUCGUCCCGCGCCCAGGUCGGGUGCGCUUGCAGUAGGGGGUUACAAGCGUCCACGCGGGUGAGGGAAGCGAGUGGCCCCAAGAGAGCGCCUGUCCCCGUCCUCGUCCCCGCGCGGCCAACCUUCUCUAAGAAGGCCCUGGUCCUUCCUUUUAUAGGCGUAAGGAGAGGAUCCAGGUGUACAAUGGGGGUGUAGCAGAGUGCUACGUGUCUAGCGGGGGGAGAGCUAGUGCCCUAAGUACAUGCCAAUGUGGCAGCCGGAGAGAUCUUGGCACCCUGCUGGCGUGAUGUCGUGGCUGUCGGAGGUGCAACGGAGCCUGGCGGAGGGACAGCUGUUGGAACGGUUGUGUCCUUGCUGACGUCGCCCUGCUUCCAUAAGAGAGCUGAGAGCCGCCGUCGUCACGGGGCUAGCGGGGCGCCAUCAUUGCCUAUCUGGCGGAGCUAGCCAGAUGGGACACCGGUCUUGUUCUCUGCGGCCCGAGUCGGCUCGGGGUAGGGUGAUGAUGGCGCUUCCUGUCGGCGUGGCUAGCCUGUGCCCUAGGUUGGGCGACGUGGAGGCUCCUCCGAAGCCGGGGUCGAGUCUGUCUUCCAUGGCCGAGGCCGAGUCCGAGCCCCUGGGUCGGGCGAGGCGGAAGUCGUCGGCAGAGGCCAGGGCGGAGUCCGAGCCCUGGGGUCGGGUGAAGCGGAGUUCAUCGUCUUCUGGGGCUGAGCCCGAGUCCGAGCCCUGGGUCGGGCGAAGCGGAGUUCGUCGUCUUCCGGGGCCUUAGCCCGAGUCCGAGCCCUGGGUCGGGCGGAGCGGAGUUCGCCGUCUUCCGGGGCUUAGCCCGAGUCCGAGCCCUGGGUCGGGCGGAGCGGAAUUCGCCGUCUUCCGGGGCUUAGCCCGAGUCUGAGCCCUGGGUCGGGCGGAGCGGAGUUCGCCGUCUUCUGGGGCUUAGCCCGAGUCCGAGCCCUGGGUCGGGCGGAGCGGAGUUCGCCGUCUUCCGGGGCUUAGCCCGAGUCCGAGCCCUGGGUCGGGCGGAGCUUCCUAUGGCGCCUUUGGCAGGGCCUGGCUUCCUUUGCGUUAAAUGCUCCUGCGGCUUGGCCGGUCGGUGCGGCGAUUUAGUCAGGGUUGCUUCUUAGCGAAGGCAAGGCCUCGGGCGAGCCGGAGACGUGUUCGCCGUUGAAGGGGGGCCUCGGGCGAGACGGAAACCCCUCGGGGUCGGCUGCCGUUGCCCGAGGCUAGGCUCGGGCGAGGCGUGAUCGAGUCGCUCGUACGGACUGAUCCCUGACUUAAUCGCACCCAUCAGGCCUCUGCAGCUUUAUGCUGAUGGGGGUUACCAGCUGAGAAUUAGGCGUCUUGAGGGUACCCUUAAUUAUGGUCCCCGACACCAUCAUUAACCAUCAUCAUUAAAAUCAUCAUCUGAGGUGUAUCCGGAGUAUCUCUAAUCAAAGAGGAUCCCAAGGCUGCUCUUAACCGUGAGCACGGCUGAUAUAUCAGUUUCAUUACCCUCUGCAGAGGUCGCACACUUUACCCAUGAGCCAUGAUUCCCGUUUUGCCCGGGGAUCAUGACUCCCCAUUGAUCACUUCCUAGGUGGUCCGACAGGGUAUCACUACGUAGCUUUUAUAAAGAUUCCCUAGAGGUCAUAACCGCCUGUUAGGUUUCUCUAGUUUGAUAAACACAGUACCUCUCCCCGUAGGAGGGUGACUAACAAAAGCAAAACGAAAGAACCUCGGCACUCAGCCUCGGCAGAGCAAGCACUGUGCCUGGACCCCAUUGACGACACAACGGCGAAGCAACUACACCUCUAGUUCCUCUAAUUAAUUAGCUAAGGGCAUCCUAUUUCACCCUCAUGGUUGCGCUGUUAUCCCGGGUGGUCUCUCAACGAACAGGUCCUUACGGAGAGGUACUCGGGAAACAGCCCGAGUCCCCUAAAAUAUCACAAGAUCAUCGGGACAACAUCAUCGUAUCAUAAAUAUUCACAUCAUGUUCGUUGAUUAAGUUAAAGCAAUAGCAUAAAGCUAACCAUAGUAACCCAAUAGGUAAUCAAGUGUAAGGUAAAUACAAAGCUAGUCAAUCCUUAGGUUUCAAUUAAGUAAUGCGGGACAGUGUAUUAUAAGUGAAAGGGACAUAAUGGGUCAAAGGACACUUGCCUUCACCAAACAGAUGCUCAGGAUCUUCUGCCUCAUAGAACUCGAAGAGCUAUAUCACUUGGUCGCCAACGCUUGAUCUUCGAUCCCUCGAAGCUCGAAAACGGAACACAAUCUAUUCGCGACGCAUAGCGAAUACAAACAGGCACAAACAUACAUAUAUAUGCAUAAGAACAUUACAUCAUUCAAAUAAAAACAUAAUAAAACAUGCAAAACAAAAUAGAGCGUGUUACUACGGUCACGCGAGGAAAAAGAAAUGAGACGGUCGAAGCCACGGUCAAGAAGUUAUAACGUUUACAUUAUGCUAGUAAUAGUCAGGACAUUUAAUUCGACAUUAUCAAAUAUAAAUUAUAACUGCUAUUUAGUUUUGAUUAAAUCUGAUACACUAACACUUAUCAAAUAAGUAAGUAAUAUAGUUAGCGCGAGAGAUUCUAAGCGAGCGAGUUUACGACGCGUGAAACAACACGACAGCGUGCGGAAUGACGAGCGGACACGCGCGACAUAGCACGCUGAUGACACACGAAACAGUGCGCGCGACCAGCGCGAACGACGCGCGAAUCAGCACGCGACCACGAGUACAUCACGCACGAACAACGCACAGACAGCAUGUGAACGUUGCGCGAAACAGCACGCGACCAGGACAAGGAAAACAAAAUAGGUGACGCGUUUAUACUAAACCAAUAUUAAAUAAAUAAGGAGUAGUUUAGUUAAUAUCAGUCAUGUUAAUGUUUAUUAUAGAAACACAAGUUGAACACUACACAUUUAAUCUAACUAGAAUAUUAAUCUAAUAAAUAUUAGUCGGGUAAAGCUUAAGUUAAUUAUUUAAAAUAUGUGACCUGACAAUCUAACAUUAUUAACUGGAGUUAUAGACGGAACUAAUUUAUUAUCACACACCGACGUCGCGCGACACACGAACCGGACGAGUGGCACGAACGCGCGAAGGAAAUGUCGACACACGCAAACAGCGUGUGAAUGGCACGCGAACAUGCACGCGAUAUUGUGCAGGCAGCGCGAUAGCGCGCAACGAUGCGUGACGACGUGCCGACACACGCGACGUACGCACAUGACAUGCGACAACGCGUGCGAACGGCACGCGACACGCGAGAAUAACGCAUGGACUAUACGCACGAACAACACGACGACAGCGAGCGUCACACGUGUGAACAACACGUAGAUAGUGCGACGACGCGCACGACUCACAAGAGUCGCUAACAGACAUCGUGUUUAUACUAAACACUAAAUACGUAUUAAGUACCACGUCUAAAUUGUUAAAAUCACAUUACCACCUAUUUACAGUCGCCUGACUAAAAUCAUAAUUUUAAUCCGAUUGAGUAUUCAGUUUACUGACCGAUAAUUAAAUAGGAAAUUAAUUAGCGCAGGGGGAUAGACGAGCUAGACGGGAGUCGUCUAGGGGUAGACGGAUGUCGUCGGGACCCGACGACACGCUGCGUGUACGCGAAACAAUGCGCACAACAGCGUGCGACACGCGCGAGUCAACACGACUACGCGCGCGAAUAGCAUGCUGACGCACAAAUGAGGACUACUACAUAGAUGUCGCCUCUAUACUAAACAAGUAUUAACUUUAAAACAUUUGAUUUGGCCUGAUUAUAUUAAUCGAUAUUUAUUAAAUGAAACUAGAGCUAUCGCCCAAUUUUAAUUAGCUGACCACACUAACAAUUCUUAGUUAAAUAAGUAAUUUAAAUAACAUCAGCGACUCUAAGCGGGACGAAUUAGCGGAGCGAGACGAAAUACGUAAUGCGCAAAACAGCACGGCAGCACGCGCACAAUACGCGUACAGCACGCGUACGGCGCGUGACCGACACAACACGCGGGGACUAAUAAAUAGAUAUUGUGUUUAUACUGCACAAUUAUUAAUGAAAGAGUAUUUAAGUUAAUAUUAAUCAUGUUGAUAUUUAUUUAUAAAAACCCAAGUUGAAAACUAUAAAUUAGAUUUAAUUGGAAUGCUAAUUUAAUAAACGUUAGCUUAAACAAAUAUUUAAUAAUUUAUUUAAAACAUAAGACAUAAUGAAACAAUAUUAUUAACACAUGGGCAGGGAUAUAAUGAAGCUAACGUAACUCGAAUGAACUAAAUCGGACAUCUAACACGAAAGAUAUGAAGGUUUAAUAAAUCCGGCCAUGAUUAAAAAAAGAAACGAUUUCUUUCCUUCAUGCAAGUUGCAACCUCACGAGGUUUCUUCUCUGUUUCUGACGCAAGAGCAAUUACCUUUCUCUCUCUCCUAUGCUCGACACGAAUUGGCCAUCGCAAGGGAGGAUGGGAUCACGUGGGGGAGGAGAGCGCUGGGCUUCAGCGCAGGUGCCAGGGAACCACGGCCAAGGCUGGGCAACGGUGGGACUCGUCGGAUGGAGGCCGCACCGGCAGGGGACCUCGCCGAGGCCGUGUGCCGUGCCCGUGCCUAAGCCGCCGUGAAGUGCUGGCCGCGCGCAGGGGCAAGCGCCGCUGGAACUGGAGAGGGCACUAGCCGUCCAUGAGUAAGGUUCGGCGCUGGGGAUCUCGGCCGACUGGGUGAAGGCUACCAGCAGCCGACUAGACGACGGUGGCUCCUGCUCGCCAGGCGAGAGCACGCGGGGCGUGCUGGGCUGGGCGAGCCUGGGCGAGGCUGGGCUGCGCGCGGCCUGCUGCACCUGGGCAAGGGGGCAGGGGGUGGGCGAGCUGGAGCCACGCCCAGGGCAGACGACGCCGCUGGGGCCACGCUUGACUGCGUUUUGGGCGCAGGGGAGGGCAACCAUGGCCAUGAGGGAUGGGGAGGCACACGCGAGGGGCUUCACCGGGAGGAGAGGAAUUGCUCGGCAGGGGGCGGAGAUGGCUGCUCGCUGGGGAAGAAGUCCAACGCUCGGCGAUGGUUGGCUCACGGAAGGGGUGGACGAGCGGUCGCGCCGUUGGAGGAGAUAGCCAGGGGGGUGCGCCUGGGCUAGGGGAUUUCAUCGAGGCGUGGGGGUGAGCAGGGGGCUCGCCGGGAGGAGAGAACGCGUGGGGAGGGAGGGAGGAGAGGAAGAGGACUCACCUGAAAACCGCCAUGUGCAGGGACGUCAGCAUCUGCGCGAUUUGGAUCUGGGGCGAUUUGGAUCUGGGGAGGGAGACGAGAGGUUAUGUGACGACAGUGGUUAUAUAAAAGAGAACGCGGGAGUAGAUUGCCAAAUUCGUCAUCAAUUGCGUCGCGACCGAGAGAGAGGCGGUUGCGAGCACGACAAAUUGCG
rnacentral:lncRNA from 1 species